AGAGUUUGAUCCUGGCUCAGAACGUACGCUGGCGGCACGCCUAACACAUGCAAGUCGAACGAAGUAGCAAUACUUAGUGGCAGACGGGUGAGUAACAUGUAGGUAUCUGCCCUUUGGCCUGGAAUAACACGAGGAAACUUGUGCUAAUACCGGAUAAGUCUUUACGGAGAAAGCUUUAUGCACCAUUGGAUGAGCCUGCACUUGAUUAGUUUGUUGGUGGGGUAAUGGCCUACCAAGACUGUGAUCAAUAGCUGAUUUGAGAGGAUGAUCAGCCACAUUGGGACUGAGACACGGCCCAAACUCCUACGGGAGGCAGCAGUGGGGAAUCUUGCACAAUGGAGGAAACUCUGAUGCAGCGAUGCCGCGUGAGUGAAGAAGGCCCUUGGGUUGUAAAGCUCUUUCGUCGGGGAAGAAAAUGACUGUACCCGAAUAAGAAGGUCCGGCUAACUUCGUGCCAGCAGCCGCGGUAAUACGAAGGGACCUAGCGUAGUUCGGAAUUACUGGGCUUAAAGAGUUCGUAGGUGGUUGAAAAAGUUAGUGGUGAAAUCCCAGAGCUUAACUCUGGAACUGCCAUUAAAACUUUUCAGCUAGAGUAUGAUAGAGGAAAGCAGAAUUUCUAGUGUAGAGGUGAAAUUCGUAGAUAUUAGAAAGAAUACCAAUUGCGAAGGCAGCUUUCUGGAUCAUUACUGACACUGAGGAACGAAAGCAUGGGUAGCGAAGAGGAUUAGAUACCCUCGUAGUCCAUGCCGUAAACGAUGUGUGUUAGACGUUGGAAAUUUAUUUUCAGUGUCGCAGGGAAACCGAUAAACACACCGCCUGGGGAGUACGACCGCAAGGUUAAAACUCAAAUGAAUUGACGGGGACCCGCACAAGCAGUGGAGCAUGUGGUUUAAUUCGAAGAUACGCGCAGAACCUUACCAACACUUGACAUGUUCGUCGCGACUCUAAGAGAUUAGAGUUUUCGGUUCGGCCGGACGAAACACAGGUGCUGCAUGGCUGUCGUCAGCUCGUGUCGUGAGAUGUUGGGUUAAGUCCCGCAACGAGCGCAACCCUCACUUUUAGUUGCCAUCAUUAAGUUGGGCACUCUGAAAGAACUGCCAGUGAUAAGCUGGAGGAAGGUGGGGAUGACGUCAAGUCCUCAUGGCCCUUACGUGUUGGGCUACACACGUGCUACAAUGGUAUCUACAACAGGAAGCAAAACUGCGAAGUUAAGCAAAUCCCUAAAAGAUACCUCAGUUCGGAUUGCACUCUGCAACUCGAGUGCAUGAAGCUGGAAUUACUAGUAAUCGUGGAUCAGCGUGCCACGGUGAAUGCGUUCCCGGGUCUUGUACACACCGCCCGUCACACCAUGGGAGUUGGUUCUACCUUAAGGCAAGGUUUCAAACCCUUGACCACGGUAUAGUCAGCGACUGGGGUGAAGUCGUAACAAGGUA
rnacentral:rRNA from 1 species